CAUUUCAGCGCGAUUUGCUGACGUGGACACAAAUCGCGUCCUCUGAAACGCGAUUUGUUGCUAUGUCAGCAAAACGCGCUGACGUGG
rfam:Gossypium raimondii Chr09_contig_44, whole genome shotgun sequence.